CCUACGGGAGGCUGCAGUGGGGAAUAUUGCACAAUGGGCGCAAGCCUGAUGCAGCGACGCCGCGUGAGGGAUGGAGGCCUUCGGGUUGUGAACCUCUUUCGCCAGUGAAGCAGGCCUGUCCCUUUUGUGGGUGGGUUGACGGUAGCUGGAUAAGAAGCGCCGGCUAACUACGUGCCAGCAGCCGCGGUAAUACGUAGGGCGCGAGCGUUGUCCGGAAUUAUUGGGCGUAAAGAGCUCGUAGGCGGCUGGUCGCGUCUGUCGUGAAAUCCUCUGGCUUAACUGGGGGCUUGCGGUGGGUACGGGCCGGCUUGAGUGCGGUAGGGGAGACUGGAACUCCUGGUGUAGCGGUGGAAUGCGCAGAUAUCAGGAAGAACACCGGUGGCGAAGGCGGGUCUCUGGGCCGUUACUGACGCUGAGGAGCGAAAGCGUGGGGAGCGAACAGGAUUAGAUACCCUAGUAGUC
rnacentral:rRNA from 1 species